rnacentral:lncRNA from 1 species
GAGGUAAAUACUUAUCCAGUGAGUUUGUGAUAUAUCUAGGAGAGAAUUGGAUUCUCUCUCAGUGGAUUCCUUUUCAGAACAAAAUGUAUCUGAAAGGAGAAGUUGACAUGGUUCAAUACACAAUAGGGUUCACUUCUCUGCCUGUUUCAGGAUUGUGCUCUUGUGUGAUUAUCUAUUUUACUCUGAAAAUAUACUGAGUA